UGGGGAAUAUUGGACAAUGGGCGCAAGCCUGAUCCAGCAAUGCCGCGUGAGUGAUGAAGGCCUUCGGGUUGUAAAGCUCUUUCGCACGCGACGAUGAUGACGGUAGCGUGAGAAGAAGCCCCGGCUAACUUCGUGCCAGCAGCCGCGGUAAUACGAAGGGGGCUAGCGUUGUUCGGAAUUACUGGGCGUAAAGGGCGCGUAGGCGGCCUGUUUAGUCAGGAGUGAAAUCCCCGGGCUCAACCUGGGAAUUGCUUUUGAUACUGGCAGGCUUGAGUUCCGGAGAGGAUGGUGGAAUUCCCAGUGUAGAGGUGAAAUUCGUAGAUAUUGGGAAGAACACCGGUGGCGAAGGCGGCCAUCUGGACGGACACUGACGCUGAGGCGCGAAAGCGUGGGGAGCAAACAGGAUUAGAUACCCUGGUAGUCCACGCCGUAAAACGAUGAAUGCUAGACGCUGGGGGGCUUGCCUUUCGGUGGUCGCCGCUAACGCAUUAAGCAUUCCGCCUGGGGAGUACGGCCGCAAGGUU
rnacentral:rRNA from 1 species